GUGACUGAGACAUCCCAGUUGCCAUUGCUUCUAGGCUCAUGGAAAUAGCAUGGAACAGCUCAGAGCACAUCUGACCUCCCAGGCCUGGGUGCAGCUGCCACUCUCUGCUGGCAUGUGUGUUGCAAUGGGGUCUGCAAGGCACAGUCCCUCUCCUAGAGGGGGACACAUCUGCUGAGAAAGGAAGGAAAUGUGCUGUGCUCCAGCAGGUCUGCUGGUCUGGAUAACUGGGAUUGCAACAGAAAGUGGGAAAAACAUCUGCCCUGCAAUGAAGACACAUGGAUUAUGAUACACGGAUGAAAAACUUCGGAAUGAUGAAAGCAACUUCUCUGGAAACACACAGCACUGCCACUGCCACGAGCAUGGGAGCAGAUGCAUUAUCCCACAAGCUGGUGUGGCUCUGCUGUGGAAAUACUGACUCCAUGGACAGUUGCUACUUUGUGGAAACCAUAUGAGGUCAGGAAGUACUACAGCAGUCCAAGUCUUUGCAUUCUGGGGAGAGAUGGGUUUCUGAAAACCAUGGCAGAAAUACUGGAGAGGCUUGGGAUAACCAAUUUCCUAGAGUAUGUGUAGACACAUCAGUCAGACUGCAGAUCUCAGCUCUCAAGGGUGGUGUUUAUCCAGCCACCAUCAGUUUGUCCAGGCCAGAUGAUGCCAAGGGAGAGGACUGGUUUUCACAAUACAACACAGCUGCAGCUCCAGCCUCCAGGAAGGGCAUGUUAUAGACCUUGCUGCAGAUGCUUUAAGCAACUUUGGUUUGAAGCUCUGCUGCCCAAAAGUCACGGCCUGGAGACCACUGACUCUUGACACAGCUGCUGAAAAACAGCCACAGUGUUUAUUGGUGAAUGACAGCCAAGGAUCUGCUGUCAGCAUUCCAGUAUUGUGAUGAGUGGAUUUAGCAGG